AGCGAACGCUGGCGGCAGGCCUAACACAUGCAAGUCGAACGAUCCUUCGGGAUAGUGGCGGACGGGUGAGUAACACGUGGGAACGUGCCCUUUGGUUCGGAACAACUCAGGGAAACUUGAGCUAAUACCGGAUGUGCCCUUCGGGGGAAAGAUUUAUCGCCAUUGGAGCGGCCCGCGUAGGAUUAGCUAGUUGGUGGGGUAAUGGCCCACCAAGGCUCCGAUCCUUAGCUGGUCUGAGAGGAUGAUCAGCCACACUGGGACUGAGACACGGCCCAGACUCCUACGGGAGGCAGCAGUGGGGAAUCUUGCGCAAUGGGCGAAAGCCUGACGCAGCCAUGCCGCGUGAAUGAUGAAGGUCUUAGGAUUGUAAAAUUCUUUCACCGGGGACGAUAAUGACGGUACCCGGAGAAGAAGCCCCGGCUAACUUCGUGCCAGCCGCCGCUGUAACAC
rnacentral:rRNA from 1 species